rnacentral:rRNA from 1 species
GAUGAACGCUGGCGGCGUGCCUAAUACAUGCAAGUCGAGCGAAUGGAUUAAGAGCUUGCUCUUAUGAAGUUAGCGGCGGACGGGUGAGUAACACGUGGGUAACCUGCCCAUAAGACUGGGAUAACUCCGGGAAACCGGGGCUAAUACCGGAUAACAUUUUGAACCGCAUGGGUCGACAUUGAAAGGCGGCUUCGGCUGUCACUUAUGGAUGGACCCGCGUCGCAUUAGCUAGUUGGUGAGGUAACGGCUCACCAAGGCAACGAUGCGUGGCCGACCUGAAAGGGUGAUCGGCCAAACUGGGACUGAGACGCGGCCCAGACUCCUACGGGAGGCAGCAGUAGGGAAUCUUCCGCAAUGGACGAAAGUCUGACGGAGCAACGCCGCGUGAGUGAUGAAGGCUUUCGGGUCGUAAAACUCUGUUGUUAGGGAAGAACAAGUGCUAGUUGAAUAAGCUGGCACCUUGACGGUACCUAACCAGAAAGCCACGGCUAACUACGUGCCAGCAGCCGCCGUAA